rnacentral:rRNA from 1 species
GAUGAACGCUGACGGCGUGCCUAAUACAUGCAAGUCGAGCGAACAGAUGAAGUGCUUGCACUUCUGAUGUUAGCGGCGAACGGGUGAGUAACACGUAAGGAAUCUACCUAUAAGCGGGGGAUAACAUUCGGAAACGGGUGCUAAUACCGCAUAAUAUCUUCUUCCGCGUGGAAGAAGAUUGAAAGACGGCUCUGCUGUCACUUAUAGAUGACCUUGCGGUGCAUUAGUUAGUUGGUGGGGUAAUGGCCUACCAAGACAAUGAUGCAUAGCCGACCUGAGGGGGUGAUCGGCCACAUUGGGAACGAGGAAAGGCCCAAAAUCCUACGGGAAGCAGCAGUAGGGAAUCUUCCGCAAUGGGCGAAAGCCUGACGGAGCAAUGCCGCGUGAGUGAAGAAGGCCUUCGGGUCGUAAAACUCUGUUAUAAGAGAAGAACAAAUUGUAGAGUAACUGCUACAGUCUUGACGGUAUCUUAUCAGAAAGCCACGGCUAACUACGUGCCAGCAGCCGCAGUAA